rnacentral:rRNA from 1 species
UACGAAGGGGGCUAGCGUUGUUCGGAUUUACUGGGCGUAAAGCGCACGUAGGCGGAUCGUUAAGUCGGGGGUGAAAUCCUGGAGCUCAACUCCAGAACUGCCUUCGAUGCUGGCGAUCUUGAGUCCGGAAGAGGUGAGUGGAACUCCUAGUGUAGAGGUGGAAUUCGUAGAUAUUAGGAAGAACACCAGUGGCGAAGGCGGCUCACUGGUCCGGUACUGACGCUGAGGUGCGAAAGCGUGGGGAGCGAACAGG